CGAGCGGAAACGAGUUAACUGAACCUUCGGGGGACGUUAACGGCGUCGAGCGGCGGACGGGUGAGUAAUGCCUAGGAAAUUGCCCUGAUGUGGGGGAUAACCAUUGGAAACGAUGGCUAAUACCGCAUGAUGCCUACGGGCCAAAGAGGGGGACCUUCGGGCCUCUCGCGUCAGGAUAUGCCUAGGUGGGAUUAGCUAGUUGGUGAGGUAAGGGCUCACCAAGGCGACGAUCCCUAGCUGGUCUGAGAGGAUGAUCAGCCACACUGGAACUGAGACACGGUCCAGACUCCUACGGGAGGCAGCAGUGGGGAAUAUUGCACAAUGGGCGCAAGCCUGAUGCAGCCAUGCCGCGUGUGUGAAGAAGGCCUUCGGGUUGUAAAGCACUUUCAGUCGUGAGGAAGGUAGUGURGUUAAUAGMUGCAUUAUUUGACGUUAGCGACAGAAGAAGCACCGGCUAACUCCGUGCCAGCAGCCGCGGUAAUACGGAGGGUGCGAGCGUUAAUCGGAAUUACUGGGCGUAAAGCGCAUGCAGGUGGUUUGUUAAGUCAGAUGUGAAAGCCCGGGGCUCAACCUCGGAAUAGCAUUUGAAACUGGCAGACUAGAGUACUGUAGAGGGGGGUAGAAUUUCAGGUGUAGCGGUGAAAUGCGUAGAGAUCUGAAGGAAUACCGGUGGCGAAGGCGGCCCCCUGGACAGAUACUGACACUCAGAUGCGAAAGCGUGGGGAGCAAACAGGAUUAGAUACCCUGGUAGUCCACGCCGUAAACGAUGUCUACUUGGAGGUUGUGGCCUUGAGCCGUGGCUUUCGGAGCUAACGCGUUAAGUAGACCGCCUGGGGAGUACGGUCGCAAGAUUAAAACUCAAAUGAAUUGACGGGGGCCCGCACAAGCGGUGGAGCAUGUGGUUUAAUUCGAUGCAACGCGAAGAACCUUACCUACUCUUGACAUCCAGAGAACUUUCCAGAGAUGGAUUGGUGCCUUCGGGAACUCUGAGACAGGUGCUGCAUGGCUGUCGUCAGCUCGUGUUGUGAAAUGUUGGGUUAAGUCCCGCAACGAGCGCAACCCUUAUCCUUGUUUGCCAGCGAGUAAUGUCGGGAACUCCAGGGAGACUGCCGGUGAUAAACCGGAGGAAGGUGGGGACGACGUCAAGUCAUCAUGGCCCUUACGAGUAGGGCUACACACGUGCUACAAUGGCGCAUACAGAGGGCGGCCAACUUGCGAAAGUGAGCGAAUCCCAAAAAGUGCGUCGUAGUCCGGAUUGGAGUCUGCAACUCGACUCCAUGAAGUCGGAAUCGCUAGUAAUCGUGGAUCAGAAUGCCACGGUGAAUACGUUCCCGGGCCUUGUACACACCGCCCGUCACACCAUGGGAGUGGGCUGCAAAAGAAGUAGGUAGUUUAACCUUCGGGGGGACGC
rnacentral:rRNA from 1 species